UGGGAUUAGCAUCCUGUCACCAGGUAGCCGCCUUCUGUACCCCCCAUUGUAACACGUGUGUAGCCCCGGACGUAAGGGCCGUGCUGAUUUGACGUCAUCCCCACCUUCCUCACAUCUUACGACGGCAGUCUCUCUAGAGUCCUCAGCAUAACCUGUUAGUAACUAAAGAUAAGGGUUGCGCUCGUUAUGGCACUUAAGCCGACACCUCACGGCACGAGCUGACGACAACCAUGCAGCACCUUCACAACAGCCUUACGGCUAUACUGUUUCCAAUAUAUUCUGUUGCAAUUUAAGCCCGGGUAAGGUUCCUCGCGUAUCAUCGAAUUAAACCACAUGUUCCUCCGCUUGUGCGGGCCCCCGUCAAUUCCUUUGAGUUUCACCGUUGCCGGCGUACUCCCCAGGUGGAAUACUUAAUGCUUUCGCUUGGCCGCUUACUGUAUAUCGCAAACAGCGAGUAUUCAUCGUUUACUGUGUGGACUACCAGGGUAUCUAAUCCUGUUUGAUACCCACACUUUCGAGCAUCAGUGUCAGUGACAGUCUAGUGAGCUGCCUUCGCAAUCGGAGUUCUUCGUGAUAUCUAAGCAUUUCACCGCUACACCACGAAUUCCGCCCACCUCUACUGUACUCAAGACUGCCAGUUUCAACUGCAAUUUUACGGUUGAGCCGCAAACUUUCACAACUGACUUAACAAUCCACCUACGCUCCCUUUAAACCCAAUAAAUCCGGAUAACGCUCGGAUCCUCCGUAUUACCGCGGCUGCUGGCACGGAGUUAGCCGAUCCUUAUUCAUAUGGUACAUACAAAAUUCCACACGUGGAAAACUUUAUUCCCAUAUAAAAGAAGUUUACGACCCAUAGAGCCUUCAUCCUUCACGCUACUUGGCUGGUUCAGGCUCUCGCCCAUUGACCAAUAUUCCUCACUGCUGCCUCCCGUAGGAGUUUGGACCGUGUCUCAGUUCCAAUGUGGGGGACCUUCCUCUCAGAACCCCUAUCCAUCGUAGUCUUGGUGGGCCGUUACCCCGCCAACAAACUAAUGGAACGCAUCCC
rnacentral:rRNA from 1 species